rnacentral:rRNA from 1 species
AUGCUUAACACAUGCAAGUCGAACGGGAUUAUUAUCUUCGGAUGAUAUGAGAGUGGCGAACGGGUGAGUAACACGUAAGAAUCUACCUUUAGGACGGGGAUAACUUCUGGAAACGGAUGCUAAUACCCGAUAUGCUGUGGAGUGAAAGGAAUUUCGCCUAAAGAUGAUCUUGCGUCUGAUUAGCUAGAUAGUGUGGUAAUGGCGCACUAUGGCGACGAUCAGUAGCUGGUCUGAGAGGAUGGACAGCCACAUUGGAACUGAGACACGGUCCAAACUCCUACGGGAGGCAGCAGUGGGGAAUUUUCCGCAAUGGGCGAAAGCCUGACGGAGCGACGCUGCGUGAAGGAUGACGGCCUGCGGGUUGUAAACUUCUUUUCUCGAAGAAGAAUAAAUGACGGUAUUCGAGGAAUAAGCAUCGGCUAACUCUGUGCCAGCAGCCGCGGUAAGACAGAGGAUGCAAGUGUUAUUCGGAUUGAUUGGGCGUAAAGCGUCUGUAGGCGGUUUGGAAAGUCUUUUGUGAAAUUCUUCAGCUCAACUGGGGGUCCGCAAAAGAAACUUCUAGGCUUGAGGGAAGUAGAGGUACAGGGAAUUUCCGGUGGAGCGGUGAAAUGCGUAGAUAUCGGAAGGAACACCAGUG